rnacentral:rRNA from 1 species
AUUGAACGCUGGCGGCAGGCCUAACACAUGCAAGUCGAACGAGUGGCGGACGGGUGAGUAAUGUCUGGGAAUCUGCCUGAUGGAGGGGGAUAACUACCGGACACGGUUGCCAAUUCCGCAUACCAUCAGAUGUGCCCAGAUGGGUUUAGCUUGUUGGUGGGGUAACGGCUCACCAAGGCGACGAUCCCUAGCUGGUCUGAGAGGAUGACCAGCCACACUGGAACUGAGACACGGUCCAGACUCCUACGGGAGGCAGCAGUGGGGAAUAUUGCACAAUGGGCGCAAGCCUGAUGCAGCCAUGCCGCGUGUAUGAAGAAGGCCUUCGGGUUGUAAAGUACUUUCAGCGGGGAGGCGUUACCCGCAGAAGAAGCACCGGCUAACUCCGUGCCAGCCGCCGCGGUAAUAC